rnacentral:rRNA from 1 species
AGAGUUUGAUCAUGGCUCAGGAUGAACGCUAGCGGCAGGCCUAAUACAUGCAAGGUGAACGGUAAGAGGUGUAGCAAUAUAUCUCCAAGAGUACCGUAAGGGUGCGUAACACGUAUGCAAUCUGCCCGCAACAGGAGGAUAGCUCCCCGAAAGGGGAAUUAACACUCCAUAAGAUCACACGAGGGCAUCUGAGAGUGAUUAAAUCUACGGAGGUUGCGGAUGAGCAUGCGGAUGAUUAGCUAGUUGGUAGUGUAACGGACUACCAAGGCGAUGAUCAAUAGGGGAACUGAGAGGUUUAUCCCCCACACUGGCACUGAGAUACGGGCCAGACUCCUACGGGAGGCAGCAGUAGGGAAUAUUGGACAAUGGUUGCAAGACUGAUCCAGCCAUGCCGCGUGCAGGAAGAAGGCCUUCUGGGUCGUAAACUGCUUUUCUCUGGGGAUAAAAAGCCCGUGCGCGGGAAAUUGAAGGUACCAGAGGAAUAAGCCACGGCUAACUACGUGCCAGCAGCCGCGGUAAUACGUAGGUGGCAAGCGUUGUCCGGAUUUAUUGGGUUUAAAGGGUGCGUAGGCGGUUCCAUAAGUCAGUGGUGAAAUACGGCAGCUCAACUGUCGAGGUGCCAUUGAUACUGCGGAACUUGAGUACUGAUGAGGUAGGCGGAAUUGACGGUGUAGCGGUGAAAUGCUUAGAUAUCGUCAAGAACACCGAUAGCGAAGGCAGCUUACCAAGCAGUAACUGACGCUGAGGCACGAAAGUGCGGGGAUCAAACAGGAUUAGAUACCCUAGUAGUCC